ACAGCGCGGGCGCAGGCGCCCAGAGGCGCACAGGAGACCUCAGGCCCAGACUCCACUCCCCAGCUGUGAAAGGACUGCUGGCCAGACCCCCAAGCUAGCCCGCCAGGCCUCCAUAGAGCUGCCCAGCAUGGCUGCAUCCAGUACCAAGAGUUGGUGGGAGACGGGUGAGGUACAGGCUCAGUCUGCGGCCAAGACUCCGUCCUGCAAGACUCUUUGGCAGUUGCACUGGGUACUGGCUGAGUUCUGGAAAACAGGAAUGUGAGCAGAGUGCUGCAGAUCUCCUUGUCAGGAGCACCUAAGAACUGGCAUGACUCUACACCCUCUCUCCUUCUGCAAUGACCUCGUGUCAAGAUGGCAGACCCGCAGAGAUGAAUGUGCCUGGAUACCUGAGUCACCAGGUGGAGGAAACUCCCAUUGACAUGCAUCACACUCCACAUAUGAAACCCUUCUUUUUCUGCACUGUCACUGGGGUUAGGGAUUAUUACUCACUGCAACUUAGCCUAGCAUUAAGUUGCUUGACUAAUACAAGUUUCAAUAAAUGUCGCUUCAUUUCCCAUGG
rnacentral:lncRNA from 10 species